CAGUCGCCACGGUAAUACGGAGGGGGCUAGCGUUGUUCGGAAUUACUGGGCGUAAAGCGCACGUAGGCGGCUUGGUAAGUUAGAGGUGAAAGCCCGGAGCUCAACUCCGGAAUUGCCUUUAAGACUGCCGAGCUAGUAGGUGAGAGAGGUAAGUGGAAUUCCGAGUGUAGAGGUGAAAUUCGUAGAUAUUCGGAAGAACACCAGUGGCGAAGGCGGCGACCUGGUCCUUGACUGACGCUGAGGCGCGAAAGCGUGGGGAGCAAACAGGAUUAGAUACCCCAGUAGUCCCUGUCUCUUAUAC
rnacentral:rRNA from 1 species